UGUGUAACACCACACCCAGCCAAUUUUUGUAAUUUUAGUAGAGAUGGGGUGUCACCAUGUUGGCCAGGCUGGUCUCAAACUGCUGACCUCAAGUGAUCCUUCUCCCUGGGCCUCUCAAAGUGCUGAAAUUAUAGGCCUGAGCCACCACACCCAGCCAACUAUGUCUUUCUACAUCUUUCCAUCAACGCAAUGCCCAGAGGAAAAUAAUCAUCAAGACUAUGGUUUGCCAUUGCAUUCUUAUAAUACUUGGGACUCUGAGGACAAGUUUAAAUAUUCAAAAUUAAGUGGUGUACUUAUGUAAUUAUUUUACAGGUGAAUAAUUUAAGUAAAGGUAAAUUUGAAUAUCAUCUAUGAAUGAGCUUAUUAUAAAAACAUUAUUUAAUAGAGUUAAAAUGCUUCGAUCUAUUUUGAUAUUACUUAUUUAAAAGUCCAUAUUUUUGAGUUGGGACUCACAGGUUCUGUUGUUAAAAUAAUGUUGGGAAAUUUCCAGUAAUCUGAAGAGGCAAAAUAUUUGUCCUCAAUAACAUUUGUUAUAAUUUAUUUAACUACAUAUUAUGAACAGCAUACUAGUUAAUAUAAUGCUAGCUGCUGUGACAAAUAAACUCCAAAAUCUCAUAAAGUCCCACAACUGAUGGCAGAGACGGAAAGUAGGCUGGACUCAAUCACUAAUAUUGGGGACCCAGAAUAACAAGAGCUUCCAUCAUCUACACAUCCUUACACCUUGUGCUAUCAGCAUCUCACCAGGAAGAAUUGAGAAGAAAAUGCUCCCUAAGGCUGGGCGUGGUGGCUCACGCCUGUAAUCCCA
rnacentral:lncRNA from 10 species